AUGAGUCGUCAUGAUGGCAUCAACAUCCCCGAUGGCAAGUUCUACCUAGGAGAUGAUGGCUAUGCAUGUCGGCCAGGUGUUCUUCCACCCUUCAGAAAAACCAGGUACCAUCUGAACGAGUUCUCUGGUAGGAACUAUCCUAGGACUCCACAGGAGCUGUUCAAUCUCAGACACUCCAGCCUUAGAGUAAUGGUUGAGAGGGCAUUCGGAGCUCUGAAGAACAGGUUCAAGAUCCUGUAUCAAAAACCAUUCCCUUACCCUACCCAUGUUAAGCUUGUUCUUGCAUGUUGCAUUCUGCAUAAUUGGAUCCUGCAAUGGGGGGUUGAUGAACUUGUGCCAGAGGAGGAAGAUGUGACUCCUGAAGAGGUGAUCAGCUCUGACCAUGGUGUGGAGGCGUUCGACAACGAAGCAUGGAAGAACAAAAGGUUGGAGUGGACUCAGGCGAUGUGGGAUAAUAGAGGUUAG
rnacentral:rRNA from 1 species